AAUCAACGCUGGCGGCGUGCCUCAGACAUGCAAGUCGAACGCGAAAGUCCCCUUCGGGGGACAAGUAGAGUGGCGCACGGGUGAGUAACACGUAGGUAAUCUACCUUCGGAUGGGGAAUAACAACCGGAAACGGUUAGCUAAUACCGCAUAAUGCAGCGGCACCUAAUGGUGACAGUUGUUAAAGCGGGGGAUCGUAAGACCUCGCGUCUGAAGAGGAGCCUGCGGCGGAUUAGCUAGUUGGAAGGUAAUGGCUUACCAAGGCGACGAUCCGUAACCGGCCUGAGAGGGCGGUCGGUCACACUGACACUGACAUACGGGUCAGACUCCUACGGGAGGCAGCAGUCGGGAAUUUUGGGCAAUGGGCGCAAGCCUGACCCAGCAACGCCGCGUGAAGGAUGAAAUCCCUCGGGAU
rnacentral:rRNA from 1 species